GAGGACCUUGUUGAGGUUGUUAACGCCUUGGACCAGGCUAGACAUGGUACCUCAAGGUAGAGCCAGUGAAGAUAGACAAAGGUCACAUCACUACAGAACGCUCAGGGUCUGGAGUGUCCACACCCCGCGGGGGCUUCUCUGAGAGGCCAGCUGGCUGACAGCCUUGGCAGAGCAACACCUCCUCAGGCCCACCAGGAAUUCCACGGCAUCUCCACAGCAGCCUUGGGAGAGAUGCUGAUGAGUUCUUCCACCAACCAGGGGAAGGCCACGCUUAUAAAAGCUUCCAGGCCUCGGCGAUAAUUUCUCCCCUUCCCACACCUGUCCCUGCUCCCCUGGGCCCUUUCCCAUCUUAGCUCUGUUUCUGCAGGAAGCAGGACAGAAAGGACUUGGUUUGAUGCAAGUGGAGAGAGAGCACAGACUCGGAACUCUCAGGAACUGGCUUUGCAGCCCAGCUCUGCCAAAACAAGUUUGGACAAGUCACUCAACCUCUCAGCCUCAGCCAGAUAACAGGAACAGACAAUUAAAGUAGGAAUAAUACUUGUGACCAUUAUUAGUAGUAGAAGUGUAAGGGCUUUGGGGUCAGAGUCCUUUGGGUCAAAUCAUGGUUUCUACCUCUUGA